GUUGUUUCUGUAAUGAACACAUUUUCUUCAGUGAGCGAGUAUACUUUAAUACACAUUAAAAAAAAAACACCAGUGUUUUUCCAUUGAGUACCUAUUAACUUACGAAGGUUAAUGAAAGUUCCAAAGGUAUUUUUGUAACAAGAGAAGAAUAAAAAUUGUUAAGUCCAACAACAGGGAGCUGGUUAAAUAAAUCAUGGAAUUUCCAUACAGUGAUAACUAUGUAACUAUAAAAAAGAAUGAGGCAUGUCUACAUGAACCAAUGUGGGAGAAUUCCAAGCUAUAUGGCUCCAUUAAAAAAAAAAAGAUGAACAAUGACUCUGGCAAACAGCUGGCACUAUUUACUGAGGCUGG